UCGAAUUUGGCGGUUCCACAACCACUGAUGGUGCGACGUUUGCCCGCCAGAUGGCAGACCCGUCAUGUAAACAACGCGUGGACUGGUCAGCUCCCUCCCAGCUCACUCGGAAAUUCUUCGGGCUUCUGACUAGCACUCAGUUUGCCGACUAUUUUCAACUCCACCGCCGUAUUAAAGGGAAAUUUUAAAAUCUGGCCUUAAAAUAGAAAGAUGAUUAUCCCUAUUCGCUGCUUUACCUGUGGAAAGGUCAUUGGAAACAAGUGGGAAAUUUAUUUGGGUUACUUGUCUGCUGAAUAUACAGAAGGAUUCAGUGACUGCAGUUAAAUUUAAGAAGACAUGAAAAGAAGAUUGAUAUGGAUGGCCUGAAACCAAGAUGUUCCUGUGAAAGCAAGGAGCAAAUCAGGAUGAAGAUUUUGUAAUAAAAUUUAUUAUUGA